rnacentral:lncRNA from 1 species
CAAAAGUCCAGGCUGCAAAAGAAGGGAAAGACUCAUGAGCAUUGAUUGGAGCAGACAUCUGGGGGGAGCCUAAAAGAUGAUUCAGCUGAAGCUAUUAAAGUCCUUGGGAGGAGACUUGAGAUAAUGUGGCUGCCAAACUUCCACGUCUUCUGUCCCUCCCUGCCACUCUGAAUUACGAAGCCGUCCUAUGUCAGCAGUCUUCCUAUUGAGGCCUAUUGAUCUGGAGGCCGCUUGUGAGCAUCACCAUCUGGUUCCACAUACUCAUGCAUGGAUCCGGGUUCCUGCUGAAUUAUCCUUGUUUUACAUCCCGGGGGGGGUUUAUCCUCCCGUGGAUGAAGCUGGAUCUCC